GACGAACGCUGGCGGCGUGCCUAACACAUGCAAGUCAACGAGAAAGGGGUAGCAAUAUCCCGAGUAAAGUGGCGCACGGGUGAGUAACACGUAGGCAAUCUGCCUUCAGGACGGGGACAACCUCGAGAAAUCGAGGCUAAUACCCGAUGAUGCGAUGGUACCGCAUGGUACUAUUGUUAAAGGUUUUCGAACGCCUGGAGAUGAGCCUGCGCCCCAUUAGGUAGUUGGUGAGGUAACGGCUCACCAAGCCUGCGAUGGGUAGCUGGUCUGAGAGGAUGACCAGUCACACUGGAACUGAGACACGGUCCAGACUCCUACGGGAGGCUG
rnacentral:rRNA from 1 species